UGUUGAACUGCAAGGAUCUACACCAGUAUGUUUUUUUCCUUUUGUGAAGUGAAGGUUCCAAGUUCUAUUUCGGAGAUUGAGGAUCAGAUAACAACCAUGUUGAGUGUGCAUGCAGGGACUACAUGCGGUACUGUUGUCAUGCCUUUGGUACAAUGUGCUCAUCUGAUGAUACCCAUGUUAUUCUGAUUAGGAUGAAUUGCGGCAGCAG
rnacentral:lncRNA from 1 species